rnacentral:rRNA from 3 species
UAGACCGCCUGGGGAGUACGGCCGCAAGGUUAAAACUCAAAUGAAUUGACGGGGGCCCGCACAAGCGGUGGAGCAUGUGGUUUAAUUCGAUGCAACGCGAAGAACCUUACCUGGUCUUGACAUCCACAGAAGAAUCCAGAGAUGGAUUUGUGCCUUCGGGAACUGUGAGACAGGUGCUGCAUGGCUGUCGUCAGCUCGUGUUGUGAAAUGUUGGGUUAAGUCCCGCAACGAGCGCAACCCUUAUCCUUUGUUGCCAGCGGUUAGGCCGGGAACUCAAAGGAGACUGCCAGUGAUAAACUGGAGGAAGGUGGGGAUGACGUCAAGUCAUCAUGGCCCUUACGACCAGGGCUACACACGUGCUACAAUGGCGCAUACAAAGAGAAGCGACCUCGCGAGAGCAAGCGGACCUCAUAAAGUGCGUCGUAGUCCGGAUUGGAGUCUGCAACUCGACUCCAUGAAGUCGGAAUCGCUAGUAAUCGUGGAUCAGAAUGCCACGGUGAAUACGUUCCCGGGCCUUGUACACACCGCCCGUCACACCAUGGGAGUGGGUUGCAAAAGAAGUAGGUAGCUUAACCUUCGGGAGGGCGCUUACCACUUUGUGAUUCAUGACUGGGGUGAAGUCGUAACAAGGUAACCGUAGGGGAACCUGCGGUUGGAUCACCUCCUUACCUUAAAGAA